GAUGAACGCUGGCGGCGUGCCUAAUACAUGCAAGUCGAGUGAACGGACGAGAAGCUUGCUUUUCUGAUGUUAGCGGCGGACGGGUGAGUAACACGUGGAUAACCUACCUAUAAGACUGGGAUAACUUCGGGAAACCGGAGCUAAUACCGGAUAAUAUUUUGAACCGCAUGGUUCAAAAGUGAAAGACGGUCUUGCUGUCACUUAUAGAUGGAUCCGCGCUGCAUUAGCUAGUUGGUAAGGUAACGGCUUACCAAGGCAACGAUGCAUAGCCGACCUGAGAGGGUGAUCGGCCACCCUGGAUCUGAGACACGGUCCAGACUCCUACGGGAGGCAGCAGUAGGGACUCUUCCGCAAUGGGCGAAAGCCUGACGGAGCAACGCCGCGCGAGUGCUGAAGGUCUUCGGCUCGUAAAACUCUGUUAUUAGGGAAGAACAUAUGUGUAAGUAACUGUGCACAUCUUGACGGUACCUAAUCAGAAAGCCCCGGCUAACUACGUG
rnacentral:rRNA from 1 species